UAUGUUUUAGUAUAUGAUGUAUAAAAGUUUUUGAUACUUGAGGUGACAGUUUAAUUCUGUUAAGCAUAA
rnacentral:tRNA from 1 species